GCAAGAUUACGGGAGGCGACAGUGGGGAAUCUUGGACAAUGGGCGAGAGCCUGAUCCAGCAAUGCCGCGUGUGUGAAGCAGGCCUGCGGGUUGUAAAGCACUUUCAGUGGGGAAGCAAAGCUCGGGGCUAAUACCUCCGGGCCUUGUACGCUACCCACAGAAGCAGCACCGGCUAACUCCGUGCCAGCAGCCGCGGUAAAUCUUUCUAGGC
rnacentral:rRNA from 1 species